UACUCCUACGGGAGGCAGCAGUGAGGAAUCUUGCGCAAUGGGCGAAAGCCUGACGCAGCCACGCCGCGUGCCGGAAGACGGCCCUAUGGGUUGUAAACGGCUUUUAGAAGGGAAGAACGUUUGGGUUUGACCUGGAG
rnacentral:rRNA from 1 species